AUUGAACGCUGGCGGCAGGCCUAACACAUGCAAGUCGAGCGGAGCGGCGGACGGGUGAGUAAUGCCUAGGAAUCUGCCUGGUAGUGGGGGAUAACGUCCGGAAACGGGCGCUAAUACCGCAUACUAUCAGAUGAGCCUAGGGCGGAUGAGCUAGUUGGGGGGGUAAAGGCCUACCAGGGCGAAUAUCCGUAACUGGUCUGCGAGGAUGAUCAGUCACACGGGAACUGAGACACGGUCCAUACCCCUACGGGAGGCAGCAGUGGGGAAUAUUGGACAAUGGGCGAAAGCCGGAUCCAGCCAUGCCGCGUGUGUGAAGAAGGUCUUCGGAUUGUAAAGCACUUUAAGUUGGGAGGCGUUACCCGCAGAAGAAGCACCGGCUAACUCCGUGCCAGCAGCCGCGGUAAUUC
rnacentral:rRNA from 1 species